rnacentral:rRNA from 1 species
GUGCAUGCGGCGUGCUAUACAUGCAAGUCGAGCGGACAGAAGGGAGCUUGCUCCCGGAUGUUAGCGGCGGACGGGUGAGUAACACGUGGGUAACCUGCCUGUAAGACUGGGAUAACUCCGGGAAACCGGAGCUAAUACCGGAUAGUUCCUUGAACCGCAUGGUUCAAGGAUGAAAGACGGUUUCGGCUGUCACUUACAGAUGGACCCGCGGCGCAUUAGCUAGUUGGUGAGGUAACGGCUCACCAAGGCGACGAUGCGUAGCCGACCUGAGAGGGUGAUCGGCCACACUGGGACUGAGACACGGCCCAGACUCCUACGGGAGGCAGCAGUAGGGAAUCUUCCGCAAUGGACGAAAGUCUGACGGAGCAACGCCGCGUGAGUGAUGAAGGUUUUCGGAUCGUAAAGCUCUGUUGUUAGGGAAGAACAAGUGCAAGAGUAACUGCUUGCACCUUGACGGUACCUAACCAGAAAGCCACGGCUAACUACGUGCCAGCAGCCGCGGUAAUACGUAGGUGGCAAGCGUUGUCCGGAAUUAUUGGGCGUAAAGGGCUCGCAGGCGGUUUCUUAAGUCUGAUGUGAAAGCCCCCGGCUCAACCGGGGAGGGUCAUUGGAAACUGGGAAACUUGAGUGCAGAAGAGGAGAGUGGAAUUCCACGUGUAGCGGUGAAAUGCGUAGAGAUGUGGAGGAACACCAGUGGCGAAGGCGACUCUCUGGUCUGUAACUGACGCUGAGGAGCGAAAGCGUGGGGAGCGAACAGGAUUAGAUACCCUGGUAGUCCACGCCGUAAACGAUGAGUGCUAAGUGUUAGGGGUUUCCGCCCCUUAGUGCUGCAGCUAACGCAUUAAGCACUCCGCCUGGGGAGUACGGUCGCAAGACUGAAACUCAAAGGAAUUGACGGGGGCCCGCACAAGCGGUGGAGCAUGUGAUUUAAUUCGAAGCAACGCGGAGGAACCUUACCAGUCUUGACAUCUCUGACACCUAGAGAUAGGGCUUCCCUUUCGGGACAGAGUGACAGUGGUGCAUGCUGUCGUCAGCUCGUGUCGUGAGAUGGUGGGUUAAGGUCCCGCAACGAGCGCAACCCUUGAUCUUAG